CCUAUAAAGGCCAGUUCGACAUUUUUCCUGUCUCUAGUUUCUUCGGCAAUCCAGGACUGUGUGUUUCAAUUGUACAGCAGUUUUGUUGUGAUUAAACACAAACUACCAAUCCUAUUCUUGAAGAAUCCUCAAAUAACCCGCUUGUUUUUGGACUCAUUCCUGGGCUCGCUUUUGAUUUAUUGUUGGAUCUACAACUGGGUUACUCUACCCCAUCCAUAGACUAAAGUUCCUGCAGAAGUUCAUUGAGUUCUUUUAUGCAAAAGAACACAGAAAGUCAUCUGUCCCACAUUGGUAUGCCUCCUCAUAAUGUUGAAUUCCAUUUAUAAAUAUGGCAGGUACCACUGAGAGGGACUAGAAAGGAUGAUUUGAUAGUUGAAGAUGUUAGAUCAUAUUGAAGAUGCUUAUCUACCUGCAUGCUUUUGUAUAUUUCCAUGUAACUGUAUAUAUCAAGUGUGCAGGAUUCAAAUGUUUCAGUCAUGACUAGGAUACAUAUUGUGAGUUUAGGAAUUUACAGCAAACGCAUUUUAAUAAUGGAUAUCAAAAAAUACAUGUCAUUUAUGUACAAAAUUACAGAAAACAUGCAAAAAGCUAUGCAAUAUACUUUGAAAGAAGUGCUAAAGAGCAAUUCUGAUGUCACACAGUCACGGUGAUAUUAUCAUGUGUGAACAGAGCCUGUUAUUAGUAUGCUAUGAUGGUGACAUCCAUUAUCUGGAAAAACUAGAGUAAAAAAUAGAAGAUUGAAUAGGAAGAUGCAAAGAAAGAGCUCUAUCAAAAAAUCUAUAUAUUUUAUUGAUUCAUCAGUCACCAUCUUAGCAUACUAAUAACAGGCUCUG
rnacentral:misc_RNA from 1 species